GACGAACGCUGGCGGCGUGCUUAACACAUGCAAGUCGAACGUGAUUUUUGUGGAAAUUCUUUCGGGAAUGGAAGCGAAAUGAAAGUGGCGAACGGGUGAGUAACACGUGAGCAACCUACCUUACACAGGGGGAUAGCCGUUGGAAACGACGAUUAAUACCGCAUGAGACCACAGAAUCGCAUGAUAUAGGGGUCAAAGAUUUAUCGGUGUAAGAAGGGCUCGCGUCUGAUUAGCUAGUUGGAAGGGUAAAGGCCUACCAAGGCGACGAUCAGUAGCCGGUCUGAGAGGAUGAACGGCCACAUUGGAACUGAGACACGGUCCAAACUCCUACGGGAGGCAGCAGUGGGGAAUAUUGCACAAUGGGGGGAACCCUGAUGCAGCGACGCCGCGUGAGCGAAGAAGGUUUUCGAAUCGUAAAGCUCUGUCCUAUGAGAAGAUAAUGACG
rnacentral:rRNA from 1 species